ACAACUUUUGACAACGGAUCUCUUGGCUCUCGCAUCGAUGAAGAACGCAGCGAAAUGCGAUAAGUAAUGUGAAUUGCAGAAUUCAGUGAAUCAUCGAAUCUUUGAACGCA
rnacentral:rRNA from 1 species